UACGUUUUAUUAUUCUAUCGAAGUGAUUUUCUAUCUUCAUGUGAGGAUGGUGGCGAAACUGAAGUUAACGAAGCUGCUUUUAAACGUGACGAUUCAAGGAAGAUUGGUUAUACUGGAAUUUAUUGCUGGGUAAUGAUGAUUUAAGGGCUACUAUUAAAGUGACGAAGCUACUUCUGUUUAUUCUUGCCUUUUGUUUUGUGACUCUUUUGUUUGCAAUGCUCUUGCUCUGGUUAAUCUGCUAAAGGAAUCUUGCUUGACUUCAACAGCAAAUUGUGGUUGUGUACUUGAUGAUUCUCCUUUCCAUUGUUGAACAGUAAAUAGUGACAUUGUGG
rnacentral:misc_RNA from 1 species